rnacentral:lncRNA from 1 species
AAACAUUCUUCCAGUGGCACUCAUAGAGUCACUUAAAAGGAUAAAUAUUAAUGGACAUAAUCAUGAAACUAUCUGUGAAAGUCAUUUGAAGAUAGUGAUAAAGGCGUAUUGACAGAAUCUACAUUUGAUACAUUGAAAAAAAUCAUUGAAAAAGAAGGCAGAAAUAAAUGAACAAUGAUUGAAUACCAGUAAACUUGGUGCUUUGCACACUGCCUUUGAUUUCAUUCUCCCAAAAUAUCUGUGAAAUAGAUAUUAUUUGUCAUUUGCAGAUGAGAAAACUAAGGCUCAGGGAACUUAUUUGUCCUAGGUCACACACAUACAAAAACCCAAGAAACAAUAAAAA